GAGACCCACGCCCACAGUUGCCAGCGUACUCUCCGGAGUGACGGGUACACUGUGGGGACCGCCGCUGCUAAAGCGGAGGAAGGAAUGGGCAACGGUAGGUCAGUAUGCCCCGAAUGUCCCGGGCUACACGCGGGCUACAAUGGCUGGUACAAUGGGUAUCUACCCCGAAAGGGGAUGGAAAUCUCCUAAAGCCAGUCUUAGUUCGGAUUGAGGGCUGCAACUCGCCCUCAUGAAGCUGGAAUCCGUAGUAAUCGCGUUUCAAUAGAACGCGGUGAAUAC
rnacentral:rRNA from 1 species